rnacentral:rRNA from 1 species
UACGUAGGUGGCAAGCGUUGUCCGGAUUUACUGGGCGUAAAGAGCGCGCAGGCGGUCAAGUAAGUCGAAUGUGAAAGCCCCCGGCUUAACUGGGGAGGGUCAUUCGAUACUGCUCGACUCGAAGGCAGGAGAGGGAAGCGGAAUUCCCGGUGUAGCGGUGAAAUGCGCAGAUAUCGGGAAGAACACCCGUGGCGAAGGCGGCUCUCUGGGACGGUACUGACGCUGAGACGCGAAAGCGUGGGGAGCGAACAGG